UUGCAAUGAUAAUCUUAGGUGACUUUUGGAUUUCAACAUGAAAAUAACCUUUGUGUAAAUCUGAGCAAC